rnacentral:rRNA from 1 species
UGGGGAAUAUUGGACAAUGGGCGAAAGCCUGAUCCAGCGACGCCGCGUGAGUGAAGAAGUAUUUCGGUAUGUAAAGCUCUAUCAGCAGGGAAGAAAAUGACGGUACCUGACUAAGAAGCCCCGGCUAACUACGUGCCAGCAGCCGCGGUAAUACGUAGGGGGCAAGCGUUAUCCGGAUUUACUGGGUGUAAAGGGAGCGUAGACGGUUAAGCAAGUCUGAAGUGAAAGCCCGGGGCUCAACCCCGGUACUGCUUUGGAAACUGUUUGACUUGAGUGCAGGAGAGGUAAGUGGAAUUCCUAGUGUAGCGGUGAAAUGCGUAGAUAUUAGGAGGAACACCAGUGGCGAAGGCGGCUUACUGGACUGUAACUGACGUUGAGGCUCGAAAGCGUGGGGAGCAAA